rnacentral:sRNA from 1 species
AAAAGAAGAAGAAGAGGAAGAAGAAGAGUAA